rnacentral:lncRNA from 1 species
CCUUCCAAAGGCCCUACCUCCAGAUGCCGUCAAAUUGGUGGUUAGGAUUUCAACAAAUGAACUUGGUGGGAAAUACACAUUUGGACCACAGCAAUGUAUUACCGUCAUUCUUUUUAAUGUUAUCCAUUCUCUGUGUGUUGUAGAAUCUCAAAGUAAUCAUUUUCAUCUUAAUGAGGGUGAGAAUUUUUUUAUAUGCGAUUGGCAACUUUAAUACUCUCUUUGGCAAAGCACCUGUGAAGGUCUUUCCUGGUUUUCUAUGGGGUUGUCUGUUAUUUUCAUAUCUGUGGGAGUUCUUCGUAUCAUUGAGAUACAAUCUCUUUGUCAGUUAAAUAUCUUCUCCCACUCUAUGGCUUGGAUUUUUUGCUCAUUUAAGGCUUCUUAUAAAGGACAGAGUUCUUCAUUAAAAUGUCAUCCAAAAUUGCACUUUUUCAUUUAUGGUAGAGUUUUUUGUGUCUGCUUAAAGUGUCCUUCCCUACUCUGAGGUCAUGAAGGUAUUUUGCUGUGUUUUCUUACCAAAACAUUACUGUUUCACUUUUCACAUUUUGGUAAGCUGGUAUUGAUUUUUAUGUAUGGAGGCAAGUGGAGGUUAAAUCUUUCUUUCUCCCUCUUCUUUUCCUUCCUUCCUUCCUUCUCUUUCUUUCUCUCCUUUCUUCCCUCUUUCUCUUUUCUUUCACCUCAUAUAAAUACUUAAUUGUCCCAUCACAUGUAUUAGAAGUCCUGCCUUUCCCUGCACUCUGCGGGGCCACCUCUGUCACAACCCUGGAGGCCAUCCAUGCAGUGUGUUUCUGGAGUCUGUUCUGUUUCAGUGUUUUAUUUGUCUGCACUAUGGUCUGAACGUUUGUGUCCUCCCACAUUUCAUAUGCUGAAAUCUAAUUCCCAAUGUGAUAGAAUGAGGAGCUGGGGCCUUUGGGAGGGAGGAGUUCAUGGGGGCAGAUCCUCAGGAAUGAGAUUAGUGCCCUUGUAAAUGAGGCCCCAGAGAGCUCCCACAUCCCUUUUGCCAUGUGAGGUCACAGCAAAGAGAUGGCUUCCCUGAACCAGGAACCAGGCUUCACCAACACCAAAUCUGCUAGCACCUUGAUCUUCCACUUCCCAGUCCCCAGAACUGCGAUAAAUACAUUUCCGUGGUUAGAAGCCACCUGGUUUGUGGUGUUGUGUCAUAACAGCUAGGACAUGCUGAGACGGUCUUCCACCUCCACCACGGCAUCUCUGACCUUCAGCUCUGGGCAGUGCGACUGCCCAGCAGAGCAAGCUCCUGCCUGGAUCCUGCAAGGCUCUUCCAGGCCUUUGCAUUUUUGUAUAACUCACUUAAAAAAAUUUGGAGAACCACAGAAGUGAGAUGAUGCCCUUUUCAGAGCAACGUCAGGAACACAUGCUUCCCAGCGCCACACAGUUAAGGAGAUGUCUGACAGUCCUCUUUUCUGUACAGGUAAUAUUUUUUUUGCUUUUGUAAUUAGUAUUUAUUCUGAGAGGGAGAUACUUUGAUACUAUGUAAAUAUACUGUUACACAUCAUUCUUUAAUCCAUUAGUUUUAGCAUUUGUUGAUGAUUCUAAUCUGAGUUGAUUGUUAACAUGGUGGUUUUCAAAUGAUGAUUUUUCUAACCCCAUUGUUCCUACAUUUAUUCCUUGGUGUUAUGGGUUAAUUGUGUGUUCAUAACCUCUAGCACCCAAAUUCAUAACUCUUAGCACCUCAACAUGUGCCCUUAUUUGGAGUUUGGUCUUUACAGAGGUGAUCAAGAUAAAAUAAGGUUAUUAGGGUGGGCCCCAAUCCAACAAGACAGGGGUCCUUAUAAUAAGGGAAGAUUUAGGUGGAAAGACACACACAAGGAGGAUGAUAGGAAGGCCCAGGAGAAGGCAGCCAUCUACAAGCCAAGGAGAGAGGCUUGAACAGAUAAUCCCCCAGCCUCAGAAGGAGUCAACCCUACGGACACCUUGAUCUGGGACUUCCAGCCUCCAGAGCUGUGAGACAAUACGUUUUUGUUGUUGAAGCCACUGGGUUUGUGGUGUUUUUUACAGCAGCCCUAGGAAACAGUUCUCUAUGAUAAGGAAGAGUUCUUUGGCCCUCCCUUAUUGGUUUAGUUACUUUGAUCAGUGUGAACUUAGGGGACUUUGCUGCUUGCAUUGUCCUAGAUGAGGCAGGAGAGUCCCACACACUGGUGCCAUGUCCUCUGGACCUGCCUCAUCAUUGUUUUUGUCCAGGGUGUGACAGGCCCACUUUGUUCUCUCUCCAUGCCUGGCCUGAAGUCAGCCUCUUUCCCACAGAGUCCAGGUUCCUGAGAGUGAAGAAUGAUGUUCAAAAACCAAGAUCUGACAUUCAGAACAAGGCUGAAAAGAGAAAGAGAGAGAAGGCAUUCUUAUCUUCUCACAGUCUUCAAGGGAAAGCUCUCAGCAUUUCAUAAUUGAGUACGUUUGUGGUAGACUUUUUUUCUGUAAAUACUUAUUGUCAUAUUAUAAAAGUUUCUUUCCAUUUUAAGUUUACUAUGAGAUUUUCUAGAAAUCAUUAAUAAAUGUUGACUUUUAAUGAAGGCAUCUAUUUAUAUCUACAUCUAUUAAGCUAAUCAUAUGAUAUUUCUCCUUUAUUCUGUUAAUGUAUGCAAUUAUAU